UACUAAGAAAGUUAGUAACCGGUAGUCGUCGGGUUAAUAGCAUGUGGCAUGGAAAGUAUUGUAUGCAAUUCUACCUUCUUAUUUCAAUAUAAUUUUUUUUCGAAGUUAAUCAGUUAUUCCAGAAAGAUAUGUGUGUUUACACAUAACACGAGUUCAAGAAAGUCGCUCAGUUAAUUUCGUUCCAGCUACCUUUUUUCUUUGUCAUUCUCUUGAGAUAACGCCUGGUAUGCUGUGAGAGGAUAUUGCUGUAAGGCUGCACCUGGUGCAUGAAUAUAGGCAAUGAUAGAUCAGGUAAUGUCUCGAGGUUACAAUAAACCUCCAUUAUGUUUUAACAUGAAUGACGAGUCAUGUGUUUAGUGCUGGCCGUUCUGGAUAAAUUUGACGUUGCUGUCUAACUAAGUAAAGUAUAGUUUAAUCAGUCUGGAAUAGGGUUUCGACCAAUGCAGUUUGGAGAAAUCGUAGUUUACGGUCUAUUUAAUAUGGUCGUUCAUCAUCCAUAAGUAAGUACACACACACUGUGUUUCUGUUUUCAAAUGAUUCAUAUUUUUCAUUGCAUUUUGUGCUCAGUCUUUAUUUCCUUCUAAGGAACUCAUUCACACAAAGGUCUCAGAAUUGCUUCGUAAUGAAUAACUUGUUCGAUUCUUCCACUUUUCUGAGGAUUUAUCUUGUCGCUCAAACGAAUGUGAGUUCGACCUGAAAAUAUCACACAGGGAAGAGAACAACAUUAUCACUUGUCCCUAAUUCCACCAGCACUAAAGCUUCAUAACUGUUGCUUAUCGAUAAGACUUCCAGCAAUCAUUGUUGCAGUAUCUGCUGCUUGUCGUCCUGAGAAUUAUGGAUCGAAUUCAUACUGUUAGUUGAACCCCAGUUCAACUUAGAUAUGGGCAUUUGUGGGACCUAUAGCAGCAAUUACUUUGGGAAACAUCAUUGUUCUCGUGAUGGUAACGAAGAUUACAGGGAACGUUGCUUCAGGUAAAGGAAAUACCAACUUUAGUCGAAACUUAUUGAACGUCAGAUCUUUGAUAAAAACACCAACGUCCAGCACGGAGUGAGCUUUGGUCUACCUGCAAACUGUCUGCAACAAGUGGAAAUUGUUACGAAACCACAAGAACCACUUCCGACUCGUGGGAGAAAGACUAAACUGAAGGAAAAUGUGGUAGCACAACGAAGAUCUAUCACUGGAGUGAAUGCGAAGAGUGUCAGUUUAACAAACUUAUUACAGCAGUUUUACCACUGGAUUAAUACAUAUAAUAUUUAGCAUGAAAGUAGUAAACACAAUUUAUAAGAUUGGUCCAAGAAAGAGCUUUUCUGGAUUUCGCGAUUACUUGGAGUAUUUAGGAAAUACAAAUAAUUUUGUUUCUUCAGUUAUUUAUAUAAAUUCACCAUUACACAGACAAAACUCAGUGUAUAAUGAAACUAACAUACACUAGGUAGUGAUGUUUUUCUUGUUAAUAUUCAAGCCACUUACAUAAUUAAAUAAACGUUCUAUAGAACUUUUAAUUAUUUUAUAUAGUGUAAAGCUGUCAAAUAUUGCUUCAUUUCAGUGCUAGUUGUAAUAAUUUUUAUACACGAAUUGUGGACAAUCGGUAUUAUAAUGAAACACUGUACACACACAUAUAUAUAUACUAAAGAUACAAACAAAUGCUACCAUGUUAUUUGACUUAUAUAGGUCAAAAUUACAUCUUUUUAUAUUACUGUGACAUAACUGUUUUUUUUUUACACAAACUACUGUGUUACUUAUAUGAUUAGCUAUUGUCUUGAGGCCUUCAUACAAACUUCAUAUGUAAAGUAACUGUGAUAAUUUAUGAAGAGUGGGUUUUGUAUGUUACUGAACUUGACAGUCAUUUAAAAAACGAAUUUAUCUAUUAUUUCAUUGUAGUUUAUUUUUGUAACAAUAAGUGAAAAGAAAUACUGAAUUUACAAGAGACAUUUUAAUACACCGUACUAAAGACAUGCCACUAUAUUAAUAAACGAUUAAAAGACCGAAACAUGUGUAUUAUAAUCAAACAUAGUUAUUUUGUGACACCAGCUGUACUAUACAGACUAAACACGUAAUAUUUCAGUUUGUCAGAUCAUAUCAUGACGAACGGGUUUUUACCUUAAGGCUAAAAAAAACUAGAAUGUCAGCUAGUAUACACUUCAAAACAUAUUUUCCUCACAUAGAUUUUGAAACAAUGAAACACGAGGACAUUCCUGAAAACGAUUCGAGUUAAUAUGAUCAUAGAAAAUUUCUUCGUUUAGAAACUCUACAAAACAUAUCAUGCACCUGAAAUACGUAACUAAAUUGACCUUCUCCAUCGUGCUGAACAUUAGAUCUAUUGACUAUCACAUUACCCCUCGCUUAAAACUGGCAUGUUUCACCAUAUCUUAAUAUGAUAUCAUCAUUAUCUGUAAGUAAAAUCACAGACUUGUCAAAUAUCACACAUAUUAAAACAUUUGUUACACAAAAACUUCAAGUUAGAA
rnacentral:lncRNA from 1 species